CUCUGUCUCUCUCUCUUUGAUCUGAGAGCUCUCUGACACACUGUCUCUCUCAGAGAGAGACAGUGUGUCAGAGAGCUCUCAGAUCAGAGAGAGACAGAGA
rnacentral:miRNA from 1 species